UAAGGUCCUAUUCUCAUGGAUGACUUGUGC
rnacentral:piRNA from 1 species